AUCAGGUGUGUUGGAGCAGGGAAACAUCCAGAACAUGCAGGACAGUGGGCCUCGAGGACUGGAGAACCACUGCUUUAACACUCACUCCAUCUUAAUUGUGCAUCAAAACAGGCGUUAUCCUGAACAGCACCAAGAGCUGCUCAAAAGUCGGAGCAAAGCCCUGGAUCAUCUGAAACCUGUCUGCAGAUUCGAGUUUAAUACAGCAGCAACCAUCCAAAGGUGAACGAGUUCAAUGAGAAAAUCCCCCGACCUCCUUCUCAUCUUAGCCUGCCAGCACAGCGGAAGACACGGGCUAAUGAUGAUGUCCUUCAAUGGCACCAGUGUCAGAUCUAAUUUGGUGUUUUUUUGGAUCCCAUAUGAACACAUUCGCCUUUAGGCUGGGUCAGAAACGGGUUUUAAACACGUCUGCUUCGGUCAGAGCAAUCCUAUCAAGAGGCUCACUGAUUCACACAGGACAAACAUGGACACUCACUCCUGAUGCAUUAAGACUUCUAUUGGCUGAAGGUGGAUGAAGGCUGCUGUAGUGCGGUCAGGCGAUGAGCGGGAGAGACCUGAACGAAAGCACGACCAUCUUCUGGGAUCGAUAAAGUAUAGCAGCAAAAAAAAAACUGAUAUCAUGUAGGUUCCUGUACACA